GACGAACGCUGGCGGCGUGCUUAACACAUGCAAGUCGAACGGAAAGGCCCUGCUUUUGUGGGGUGCUCGAGUGGCGAACGGGUGAGUAACACGUGAGUAACCUGCCCUUGACUUUGGGAUAACUUCAGGAAACUGGGGCUAAUACCGGAUAGGAGCUCCUGCUGCAUGGUGGGGGUUGGAAAGUUUCGGCGGUUGUGGAUGGACUCGCGGCUUAUCAGCUUGUUGGUGGGGUAGUGGCUUACCAAGGCUUUGACGGGUAGCCGGCCUGAGAGGGUGAACGGCCACAUUGGGACUGAGAUACGGCCCAGACUCCUACGGGAGGCAGCAGUGGGGAAUAUUGCACAAUGGGCGGAAGCCUGAUGCAGCAACGCCGCGUGCGGGAUGACGGCCUUCGGGUUGUAAACCGCUUUCGCCUGUGACGAAGCGUGAGUGACGGUAAUGGGUAAAGAAGCACCGGCUAACUACGUG
rnacentral:rRNA from 1 species